rnacentral:tRNA from 1 species
UUUGUCGUGACCGAAUGGUUAACGCGAUAGAUUUGAAUUCUUUUGGGAUCUUCCCGCGCAGGUUCGAAUCCUGUCGACACGC